CCUCUUCUCAGAACACUUCUAGGGCCUGGUUGGUGGCUCAGGAAGCUGUCAGUGAAGAGCAGAGCAUGUCCCCUUACCCCUGUGGUAUGAUGACA
ensembl:snoRNA Gm27326 predicted gene, 27326